rnacentral:rRNA from 1 species
UCGAAGAGGACCGACCUCGGGAGCCAGUACAGGUGCUGCAUGGCUGUCGUCAGCUCGUGUCGUGAGAUGUCGGUUAAGUCCGCUAACGAGCGCAACCCUCGCCGUGUGUUAUACGUGUCACGCGGGACCGCCGGUAUCAAGCCGGAGGAAGGUGAGGAUGACGUCAAGUCAGCAUGGCCUUUAUAUCCUGGGCUACACACACGCUACAAUGGCCAACACAACAGGUUGCGAAACCGCGAGGUGGAGCCAAUCCCCAAAGUUGGUCUCAGUCCAGAUUGCAGGCUGCAACUCGCCUGCAUGAAGUCGGAGUUGCUAGUAACGGCAGGUCAGCAUACUCGCCGUCGAAUACGUUCCGGGCCUU